rnacentral:rRNA from 1 species
GACGAACGCUGGCGGCGUGCCUAAUACAUGCAAGUAGAACGCUGAAGCUUGGUGCUUGCACCGAGCGGAUGAGUUGCGAACGGGUGAGUAACGCGUAGGUAACCUGCCUGGUAGCGGGGGAUAACUAUUGGAAACGAUAGCUAAUACCGCAUAAGAGUAGAUGUUGCAUGACAUUUGCUUAAAAGGUGCAAUUGCAUCACUACCAGAUGGACCUGCGUUGUAUUAGCUAGUUGGUGAGGUAACGGCUCACCAAGGCAACGAUACAUAGCCGACCUGAGAGGGUGAUCGGCCACACUGGGACUGAGACACGGCCCAGACUCCUACGGGAGGCAGCAGUAGGGAAUCUUCGGCAAUGGACGGAAGUCUGACCGAGCAACGCCGCGUGAGUGAAGAAGGUUUUCGGAUCGUAAAGCUCUGUUGUAAGAGAAGAACGAGUGUGAGAGUGGAAAGUUCACACUGUGACGGUAUCUUACCAGAAAGGGACGGCUAACUACGUA